GCUUGCUGUCAAUAAAUAUGUGGGUAAAUCUCUGUUUGGGGCUCUCAGCUCUGAAGGCUGUGAGACCCGAUUUCCCACUCCACACUCUGUAUUUCUGUGUGAGUGUCUUUAAUUCCUCUGGCGCCGCUGGGUUAGGGUCUCCACGACUGAGCUGAUCUCAGUAUCUACCACAUUCUGCUUUAUUCUCUUCUCUAGGGUAAGAAAAAUCACAAUACAUGGGUAUUCAAUAAAAUUCAAUUAAUUUAAGCCUGACUCUUGAGAAUGUGCAAUUGAAGGUUAUGAAUGUGUCACACCUAAGGUGGUGGUAGAAGUCUCUGGCACAUGGAAAAUGCCUGUUUUAACUUUUAGCUAUUUUUUUCAGGUUUUUGUCAUUAGAAUAUUUCUUCUGUUUCUACUGCAAAUAACUAUCAAAAAGGAAAAGAACAACUAGGAUGGCCUCCCCUGUUUAUCAUUGGCCCUACAAUUUUCUAGGAGUAAUAUCUUUUUGGAAUUAUGUAAUGUCCUCUGCUAAUGACAGUGUAUAGAUGCUAUUACAUUUCCUUGGGGGACAAAGUACUGUUGUCUGGAAGCUUUGAGAUUAAUGUAACACAAAGUAAAUAAGGAAGCGUUUUGCAUAUUCUUAGAUUUUUACAUUUUUAUUUUAAAACAGAGAAUUUCAUAUUGAUUAACACCUACUACUAAACAGAAUGAUGCAUUAAUUAAAUGCCUUGUCCUAACUGUUAUAAGCUCUGUUAGAAAAAUAAACAUCUCACCACAAACUACAGUGUCAGCUCUUUAAUAAAUACAUAAAACAGAAGUUAGUAGUCAAUCAGAGUUAUAUGAACAGGUUCAUAGUAUAUUAUGUGAAAGUAUCAUAUUCUCCAAUAUUCUGUAUCAUUUAAGACAAUUUAAGUUACGUAUAAUUCAAAGCCAGAAAUAAUAAGAAAUAUGUUCAGUGAUAAUUUGCUUCUUUCUUAGAGCUAUUUUAUAUUCAAAUAUUUAAUUUAAAAAUAUAUUCUAUAUUAAAUUUAUUUUUACAAACGCAGUAUUCGUUAGGUGAAACAAAAUAAGUUUUUAUGUUACUGAUAAGUUUAAUACAUUUCUAAUUUUUUUCAGAAGUUCAAGAAACCAUAAUGAAGUAGCUAAUGUAAAAUAGUUUAAAAGCUAUGUUAAAUAUACACAAAAUGAAUUUCUAUAUUAAUAUGUGCAAAUGUAUAUUUUCUUAUAAUUUAGAAUUAAAGUACUUUAUACUCAAUAUUCUUAAUAAAAUUUAUGUACCAUACUUGUCAUUGCGUAGACUUCUUAUCAAAAUUUCACAUUUAUCUGUAGGAAAAUGUAAAGUUGGUAAAAAUUGUUUACACAAAUCACACAUUUUCCAUCCUUGACAAUUGCAGUGUUUUUUUUUUAAAUAUUGCUGUAUUAGACAAUUUUAACUGAAGUAGGUUGUAGAGGCUAGAAGAAACCUGAUUAAUAGAGUUAGCUUACAAAGAUAAAUUUUAUGCAGAAAAGUAUUCCAGGUAGAUAAAAGAGUAGUGUUAUUACUCUCAGGUUUACAUUAACAGCUGCCCAGAUAGCUGAACAAUUAUUUCAUAUAAUUCAAAUAAUUUAAAUAUGCAGUUUUAUAACAGUCGUUACAUAAGCUUGAAGUUAAAGUGAUCAGAGCCAAGGGGGAAAAACCCACAAAUGAUAAAGAAGAAUAAAAAGUAAGAGGACUCUAGAAGAAAGUUGUUUUUCACAGCACUGAUUGUUUUUAUCAUAUUUUUCUCCUGCCAUUGAUACAAGACAUGUAAGAUGCUGCAAAACCUAACUAUGACAGUUCCAUGUAAUAUUUUUCCAGUUAAUUUUGUUUAAAAGUGAGAUGAUAAUAUAAAAGGAUCUCAUAUAAUAGAAUAAAAAUAAUAAAAAUUUGUUAAUGAAACGUAGACAUACCUACCCAUUCUUGUUAGUUAAGUUAGGGUUUGCUGAAAUCAUUCGCACUCACGUAAAGUAUAAAUGGGGACCUGAAAGAGCUUUUGUAAACUCAAGAUAUGCGGGAUCUGAGCUGAUAAUCAGUUAGGCUCCAUGUUGAGUUGUGCGUGACUCAGUUGUCCUUAAAUUUCGCCUUCAUAUUUUGUCAUAAAUGGGCUCUCAAAUCUUUAUAAGAAAACAAAAUUUGCCUAGAUGCAUAAACAUUUAGGUAAAGUUGGAUUAGUGUAAUAUUUAUUCAAGCAUAAUUUUAAACACUGCAUCUGAAGUGCCAACAGUUGCAAGAAAUGUCACAAUUUCAGAGAUGUUAAAUUGAAAAAGUGAUGUCUUGGAAUCAAUGAAAUAUAAAUAUGGAUAUGUAUAAUCAGUUAUACAUAAAAAUUUGCUAUAGAGGAAUUAUAAAAGAAAAGGAAAAUUAUUUGAAAGAAUCUCAAACAGUUGUGAAAAUUUAGAAUUCUUAGAUUUUAAUGGGUCUGUCUUUGUUCAGGGGCAAAGACUCAAAUGAGCUUUAAGAUCAAUUAAAGAUGUCUGGAAAUGAAGAACUUCAUUAUACCAUUAAAUUCAGUUAUUUUUCACUAUUAGGCUUAUUAAGCUUGAAGCUUUAGGAAAUCUCUUGGGAAGAGUGAGUGGAAAAAACAGGAGUAAGAAAAGGAAGAAAAAGCCUUUGAGUCUAAUCUACUCUACCAGGUUCCAGGAAGAAUAUAAUUCUACAGAGAAAAUUCUUCAUAAUCUAUCAUAAUAUAUUUCAGUGUCUGAUGGCUGACUCUUGUCUUGCAUAAAGAUAUCUUCAGUGGAUAUUAAGUAAAUAUUAAAAAUAUAUUUCAGAUUCAUUCUUUGAAGGAUUGCAUCUCAUGCAUCCACAAAUUUUAAUGUUGAGUUUUGGAAAAUUGCCUCCAGAGAUAUCUACUGUGUUUAAUCUUAGAUUUUUUUUUUAUUUUAAUAAACCAAAGAUAAACUGAACAUUUAAGACAUAAUCAGAUUUUUAGUGAAUUUUUAAGUCCUCCAGAAAAGUCUAUGACUUAAUAAAUAUUAGCAAGUUUCCAAAAAUAUAACAAAUGUUUAUAAAUACGUGUGCACUGCAGUGCAAUGGUGUCCCCAGAGAAAUAAAAUGCAUAACAAAGCAAAUGUUAUGUUGUAGUGUAUGUAUGGCACAUUUAUAAAUCAUUACAUACUUUAGGGCACAAAAAUGCUGCAGUACUAAAAGUGUUGUUCAAGUUCUCAAUUCUGUUAACAAUUUAAAAUUUCAUUAAUUGUGUUUAAUAUCAAUGAAUCUCAAAAGGCUCCUGUGGCCAUAUUAGUUGAAAAUAGACUCUAUUUGCAUACAUUAUUUAACCUAAGAGUACCCUGUGUUCCCUUACCAUUUAAUUAAUUCUAACUAGUCAAAUAUUAAUUCUCAUCUCACAAAUCAUUACACAGGAAGAUAUCAAUUAUUCAAGUAAAAUACAAGCCCUACAAUCUUUAAAAAUUAGCUUUUUAAGUAAAAACAAAAAAGAUAAGCACAAGACUUUGCAAGCAUAACCACAAUCAUCGUCUAACACUGAGUUGCCUACAAGGAAGUUUGUCCCUUCCUAUGGUAACAGCCUUGGUCCACUAUAAAGUUAGUGCAAACAAGUGAGGGUAUAAAAAAAAUAUAAACUCUGGAUUUUUAAGGAUUUCAUUUUGUUAUACUCUUUUUGGAUAAUUCAUUCCAUACGGAAAUUUGUUUAUUGUUCAUAAAUAUCAUAAUGUUCAUUUCAAAAAUUGUCAUCAUCUUAAUGGCUAUCUUACACUUUUUUCUUUUGGAGGGUUGUCAGGCAUCCAUCCAUUUUCCUUUUUAAGAAGAACGUUAUGUGUAUUAGGCUACUAAACCCAAUUUUUACAUUAUUUUUAGUGAUCAAAGGUUUCUUAUACAAGUGACUCACAGUACUGAAUUAUGUCAAUCUCUCAUUUGAGGAAGGAAAUGCAGUUCAAGUUAGCAUUGAAAGUGCUUGGCUGUAGAGGACAUCUAACAGAGCUGCUGUGUUUAUUGGCUCCAGAACAACUUAUUAUAGGUUUUUCAGUUCUCUUUAGGGUAGAAUAUGAGAUGGGGUUAGUCUUCAUCAAAAUGCAGUAUCUAGUACUUUAACUCAAGUGCUGGAAGACAGCAAAUCUUGGAAGUUUAUUAUAAAAAAAAAGAUAUUUCGGAUAGAUUCCUUUGUUGUCAUGGGCAAAACUGUAUAUCCACACAGGACUGUUAGACUCCUAGCCAAUAAAAUCAGACUAAGUCCAUAGGGAUAAGGUAAGUGUAAAUAAAUUUCCAUUGGGGAAGACAGGGCUCAUGGCCCGUGUAUCAAGGUCUCAAGCUGAGCACUGGAGAACUCCAGGGAACACUGUUCAUACAGGCUAUGGUGCGAAGGAAUUCCCCUGUAGGUAUGCCAUACUUCAGUCUCUUAAGAAGCUGAUUAGCAUGAAAGACUGGAAGCUGAUUAUGGACAAUUCAGUUUGAAUUAUUCCUUUCUAUUUUGCUUUGAACUUUCCUCAUACACUUAAGACAUGAGUAAAUCACAUUGAAAAACAUUUGCCAAUUGAAUAUUUUAAAGAUUCAAGAGGUAGCAUGAUAUUGUGCAAUGAACACUGGCCUGACAAUGAGAAGAUAAAAACUCCUUUCCAAUGUGGCCACUUUAUCACUUGAGUGUUUUCUGAGAAAUCGUUUAAGUUUUCUGAGGCUCAGUUCCCUAACUCACUAAAAAGGAGAAUUAGCAGCCUGGCAUGGUGGCUCAUGCCUGUAAUCCCAACACUCUGGGAGGCCGAGGAGGGUAGAUCACCUGAGGUCAGGAGUUUGAGAUCAACCUGUCCAACAUGGCAAAACCCCGUCUCUACUAAAAAUACAAAAAUUAGCUGGGCACGGUGGUGGAUGCCUGUAAUCCCAGCUACUCAGGAGGCUGAGGCAGGAGAACUGCUUGAACCCGGGAGGCAGAGGUUGCAGUGAACCCUAAUUGCGCCAUUGCACUUCAGCCUGGGUGACAAGAGUGAAACUCCGUCUCAAAAAAAAAAAAAAAAAAAAAAAAAGCUUAUUUCUAAGAUAUCAUCUAUUCUCCAAUUUUGUACUUUUAUGAAUUCUGGCAAGAAGGGUUGGAGUGAUUCUGGGAAAGAACAUCCUUAGGCUGCCUUGAAGGGAGAAGAUAAUAUAGCUUUUCAUUUAAAAAAUGCUGAUAUCUACUUGCAAUCAAAAUCUAAGAAAACAUUCAAAAUGUGGUACUUUGCUUGAGGCAGAAUUUCUAACUAUCUUGUGAAUUAAUGAUAAGAUAAAUGAAAUGGCCAAACAAUCCCUUCAGUUUACCAGGUAAGAGGAUACAAAACUCCACACUUGUGCACAAUGAAGCUAUUCAGGUUUUGAUGAUACUUUACAGUGUCCCCUAUUAACAUUCAGCUUUUAAAACUAGUAUUCUGAUAAAGUGACAUUGUAUUAUUAGUUUUUUAUGGCAGUAGUAACUUAGCACUUAAUUAAUCCAGUCAUCUGUGACAUACAUAAACUUAUCCUGUAAAAAAGA
rnacentral:lncRNA from 1 species